rnacentral:sRNA from 1 species
CGAAACGUCCCUGCGGGUGGCGCAGUAUUCUAGUCAACCGUCCGCGCCUGAAGACGGGGCUAAAAAUCCGUCAAAGGGCACAUCGAUGAAGUUCCUGGUGUGGGCUUGGGGCGCCCAGCCCUGGGCUCAUGCUGGGAGUUAAGAAGGUUGGGCAGCCCGCAAUGGCAUGCGGGACGCGACCCAGCCUUCGCGGAGGCCCAAGUUCGUAGCUGGAACCAUGGUUUUUGCUAUGGCUUGGGGUAUGAACCUGCAUGCGGAGGCAAUCUGUGUGCAGCGUAGCCUGCCUUGAGUGGUACUGAAGGAUCCCAGGAAUUCAGGUGGUCGGCCGCGGCCACGGCGCGACCACCGGUGCUGGGUGAAAUCCGUACUGCAAAAGAGGCUAGGGCGCGGGAGCGGUUGUCGCGGAAAACGCCUAGACUGUUCGCCACGAGGCGAGGCUCCCUGAGGAUUAUAGUGUGGACUAAGUGGUAAUCCAGUCUGGCUGUCGGCGACGCGGCCAACGCGCUCUGAAAGGGAAACCGCCGGGACGGCGACGUCUCGGUGAGCGCUUGGGAAAACCUACUGGACCUAAGCCACAGCGUUUACUCAGGGAGUUGCCACCCGGGCAUCGAUACAU